GUGUAGCUGAUAUCAUUAACCUGGACAUGAGUCGGGACUUAGAGGGUCAGAAAAGCAAUCGAGGCCCAUAGAAACAGGAGGAAGCAGUGAGUGGGGGGACAU